CUAAUACGUUACAACCACUACUCCACUAAUACGUUACAACCACUACUCCACUAAUACGUUACAACCACUACUCCACUAAUAGUUACAACCACUACUCCACUAAUACGUUACAACCACUACUCCACUAAUACGUUACAACCACUACUCCACUAAUACUUACAACCACUACUCCACUAAUACGUUACAACCACUACUCCACUAAUACGUUACAACCACUACUCCACUAAUACGUUACAACCACUACUCCACUAAUACUUACAACCACUACUCCACUAAUACGUUACAACCACUACUCCACUAAUACGUU
ensembl:lncRNA